CCUACGGGGUGCAGCAGUGGGGAAUAUUGGACAAUGGGCGAAAGCCUGAUCCAGCCAUGCCGCGUGUGUGAAGAAGGCCUUCGGGUUGUAAAGCACUUUCAGUGGGGAAGAAAGCCUUGGGGCUAAUACCCUCGAGGAAGGACAUCACCCACAGAAGAAGCACCGGCUAACUCCGUGCCAGCAGCCGCGGUAAUACGGAGGGUGCGAGCGUUAAUCGGAAUUACUGGGCGUAAAGCGCGCGUAGGCGGUCUGAUAAGCCGGUUGUGAAAGCCCCGGGCUCAAUCUGGGAACGGCAUCCGGAACUGUCAGGCUAGAGUGCAGGAGAGGAAGGUAGAAUUCCCGGUGUAGCGGUGAAAUGCGUAGAGAUCGGGAGGAAUACCAGUGGCGAAGGCGGCCUUCUGGACUGACACUGACGCUGAGGUGCGAAAGCGUGGGUAGCAAACAGGAUUAGAUACCCGAGUAGUC
rnacentral:rRNA from 1 species